UACGUAGGGUGCGAGCGUUAAUCGGAAUUACUGGGCGUAAAGCGUGCGCAGGUGGUUUGUUAAGUCAGAUGUGAAAGCCCCGAGCUUAACUUGGGAACUGCGUUUGAAACUGGCAAGCUAGAGUCUGUCAGAGGGGGGUAGAAUUCCACGUGUAGCAGUGAAAUGCGUAGAGGUGUGGAGGAAUACCAAUGGCGAAGGCAGCCCCCUGGGAUAAGACUGACGCUCAUGCACGAAAGCGUGGGGAGCAAACAGGAUUAGAUACCCUGGUAGUCCACGCCCUAAACGAUGUCAACUGGUUGUUGGGCAACUUGAUUGUUCAGUAACGAAGCUAACGCGAGAAGUUGACCGCCUGGGGAGUACGGUCGCAAGAUUAAAACUCAA
rnacentral:rRNA from 1 species